GCGGAUUGUCGCUGGGCAGCGG
rnacentral:miRNA from 1 species